rnacentral:rRNA from 1 species
CCUACGGGAGGCAGCAGUGAGGAAUAUUGGUCAAUGGGCUUACGCCUGAACCAGCCAAGUCGCGUGAGGGAAGACUGCCCUAUGGGUUGUAAACCUCUUUUGUCAGGGAGCAACGCCGGCUACGUGUAGCCGGACUGAGAGUACCUGAAGAAAAAGCAUCGGCUAACUCCGUGCCAGAAGCCGCGGUAAUACGGAGGGUGCGAGCGUUAUCCGGAUUUAUUGGGUUUAAAGGGUGCGUAGGCGGGAUGCCAAGUCAGCGGUAAAAUCGCGGGGGUCAACGGGGUGAAGUGCCAUUGAUACUGGCUUGCUGGAAUGCGUAUGCGGUGGGAGGAAGGUGUGGUGUAGCGGUGAAAUGCAUAGAUAUCACGCAGAACACCGAUUGCGAAGGCAUCUCACGAAUCCGCGAUUGACGCUGAUGCACGAAAGCGUGGGUAUCAAACAGGAUUAGAUACCCCUGUAGUC